UACGGAGGGUGCAAGCGUUGUCCGGAUUUAUUGGGUUUAAAGGGUGCGUAGGCGGCCCGUUAAGUCAGUGGUGAAAGCCUCCAGCUCAACUGGAGAACUGCCAUUGAUACUGACGGACUUGAGUACAGACGAGGUUGGCGGAAUUGAUAGUGUAGCGGUGAAAUGCAUAGAUACUAUCAAGAACUCCGAUUGCGUAGGCAGCUAACUAGGCUGUAACUGACGCUGAGGCACGAAAGCGUGGGGAGCGAACAGG
rnacentral:rRNA from 1 species